AGAAAAUGCUGACAUUGGGUUUCUGUGUCAUUUGAAGGUGAUUAGAGUGAGUCAAAACAGGUUUUUAUUUUUAGAUAAAACUGUAUGAUGAAAUAUAUUCUCCAUACUGGUAGUAAUCACUGAAAGAAGAGAAACGAGUGAGCAGCAGAAGAGGCUAAACCGUUAAGUAAUGUUGGAGGGAAGAGGCUGAAGUUGGCCUCUAGUGCAGGGUUGUCAAACUCCGGUCCUCAAGAGCUACUGUCCUGCAGCUUUUAGAUGCAUCCCUGUUCCGACACACCUGAACCAAAUACAUGGCUUGUUACCAGGCCUUCGCCGAACUUGAUGGGACGCUGAAGAGGGAGACACGAGGAAACUUUGACGUCGCUGUCUGCACACGGAGCUCUCCGAGGGAUCUUCCUGGAAUGGUGACGCUGUUUUCGGAGAACCGAUUGAUCAUAAAACGCUGAAUUCAUUCCUACUUGUUGAUCAGGCUAAACAACCUGUUUCGGAGCAGCUUAUUUUCAGCAUAAAGAGCGCUUUAGCGAUGUGCACAGAUACGAAUUGAGAUACCUGGACAAGGGAAAAGACGAAAUAUUUCGGUAACGCCAGGGUUAACCCUUGGUUUUGUGCGCUACAGUGGUGGUUCACCUCUUAUCGAGGUAACAAACUAAAGCAGUUUCCACGCCUGCUUUAUUAGGUUACUGUUGCUCACCUUUGAUGUUAAAAGUGAAUGUGAAUGCAGUUUUAGGGCUCUAAUGUGCAGCCGCCACGUCGCAUUUAACGUUAUUGCGCCAUAGCUUAAUAAAGCAGACGUGCAAAUCACUUUAGCUUCUCAACACUUCAAGGUCAUAUUAAUUUAACUGAUUGAUGAGGUGUGGUAUGUCAGGCAGAAAAAGAUAAACGACCAUGGCUCCAUGGGCCACAGAUAUGCGCUCUGUGCCUUCAGUGUAGUGGCAGCCAUCCAAAGUGAAUCUUGUAAUAUGUUAUCAUUCAUGUCAAUGAAAAUAUCAUACGUGGCUCGUCCACUGACAGGUUUUAAAGUGUGCUGCAUCAAAGCAUCUAAACUUAUUUUCUGUGAUUUUUAUUUUAUUUUUUGGCUAAACGGUUAUUGUUUUUCCUCCUCCUCUUGGGCACCAUGUCUCUCCUGUCUCUCCCUCCACCCUGUUAUUAAGAGGUUGGGGAGAAUCCACAUUUGGUAACGGUAUAACACGCUGCUUAGUGAUGUGAAUCCAUCAUCAUGAAUGUGGGCAAACAGAGGGUGCCUUGGCUUUACUAUGGAU